rnacentral:rRNA from 1 species
UGGGGAAUAUUGCACAAUGGGCGCAAGCCUGAUGCAGCCAUGCCGCGUGUGUGAAGAAGGCCUUCGGGUUGUAAAGCACUUUCAGCGAGGAGGAAGGUGGUGAGCUUAAUACGCUCAUCAAUUGACGUUACUCGCAGAAGAAGCACCGGCUAACUCCGUGCCAGCAGCCGCGGUAAUACGGAGGGUGCAAGCGUUAAUCGGAAUUACUGGGCGUAAAGCGCACGCAGGCGGUUUGUUAAGUCAGAUGUGAAAUCCCCGGGCUCAACCUGGGAACUGCAUUUGAAACUGGCAAGCUAGAGUCUCGUAGAGGGGGGUAGAAUUCCAGGUGUAGCGGUGAAAUGCGUAGAGAUCUGGAGGAAUACCGGUGGCGAAGGCGGCCCCCUGGACGAAGACUGACGCUCAGGUGCGAAAGCGUGGGGAGCAAAACAGGAUUAGAUACCCUGGUAGUCCACGCUGUAAAACGAUGUCGAUUUUGGAGGUUGUGCCCUUGAGGCGUGGCUUCCGGAGCUAACGCGUUAAAUCGACCG